UAUCUGAGCGCCGCGCGGUUACGAGGAGUAUAAUAGGAACAUCAGUAGUAGUGUAAAAACUUUCACAAUGAAAUCUGAAGCCAAGGAUGGAGAGGAGGAGAGUCUACAAACUGCUUUCAAGAAAUUAAGAGUGGAUGCAUCUGGAUCCAUAGCAUCUCUGUCUGUUGGAGAAGGUGCAAGUGUCAGAGCCUCAGUCAGAACAGCAGCAGAUGAUACCAAACCUAAAAGUACAUGUGUAUCUAAAGACAGCUGGCACGGGUCUACAAGGAAAUCUUCACGAGGAGCAGUGAGAACCCAGCGUCGUCGACGGUCUAAGUCUCCUGUCCUUCAUCCUCCAAAGUUUAUACAUUGCAGUACAAUAGCACCUUCUUCCAGCAGCCAACUCAAGCACAAAGGCCAGACUGACUCCCCUGAUGGCAGCAGUGGGCUGGGAAUUUCAACCCCUAAAGAGUUCAGUGCAGGAGAAAGCUCCACUUCUCUCGAUGCUAAUCACACAGGGGCAAUCAUUGAGCCUUUGAGAACUUUGGUUCCAAGGCUCUCAUCAGAGAGUAAGAAGGAAGAUGACUCUGAUGCCACCCAAGUCUCCCAAGCAAGUCUCAAAGCCAGUGAUCUCUCUUACUUUCAGUCUGUUUCCAAGCUAAACCAGGGCAAGCCAUGUGCGUGCAUAGGCAAGGAAUGCCAGUGUAAGAGAUGGCAUGAUAUGGAGGUAUAUUCCUUUUCAGGCCUGCAGAACGUCCCUCCCCUGGCACCAGAACAAAGAUCCACGCUUGAGGACUACUCUCAGUCCCUGCAUACCAGAACUCUGUCUGGCUCUCCCCGAUCCUGUUCCGAGCAAGCUCGAGUCUAUGUGGAUGAUGUGACCAUUGAGGACCUAUCAGGCUACAUGGAGUAUUACUUGUAUAUUCCCAAGAAAAUGUCCCACAUGGCAGAAAUGAUGUACACCUGAUAGCAAGAAGCUAACUCAUAUGCUUUAAACCAAUGAAGGGUUGUCAAAGAGAUUUAGUUAACGGCAGACCUUGUGGCCACUUUGUGUGAGAAGACAUCUCUUUCUGCUCACUGUGCUUGCAAUAAAAACUUUUCUUGGCAUCUCAA